UACGGGGGGGGCAAGCGUUGUUCGGAAUUACUGGGCGUAAAGCGCGCGUAGGCGGCUUUGUAAGUUAGAGGUGAAAGCCUGGAGCUCAACUUCAGAAUUGCCUUUAAGACUGCAUCGCUUGAAUCCGGGAGAGGUGAGUGGAAUUCCGAGUGUAGAGGUGAAAUUCGUAGAUAUUCGGAAGAACACCAGUGGCGAAGGCGGCUCACUGGACGACUGUUGACGCUGAGGUACGAAAGCGUGGGGAGCAAACAGG
rnacentral:rRNA from 1 species